rnacentral:rRNA from 1 species
AACGAACGCUGGCGGCAUGCCUAACACAUGCAAGUCGAACGAGACCUUCGGGUUUAGUGGCGCACGGGUGCGUAACGCGUGGGAACCUGCCUUUAGGUUCGGAAUAACUCAGAGAAAUUUGAGCUAAUACCGGAUGAUGUCUUCGGACCAAAGAUUUAUCGCCUUUAGAUGGGCCCGCGUUGGAUUAGCUGGUUGGUGGGGUAAAGGCCUACCAAGGCGACGAUCCAUAGCUGGUCUGGGAGGAUGAUCAGCCACACUGGGGCUGAGACACGGCCCAGACUCCUACGGGAGGCAGCAGUGGGGAAUAUUGGACAAUGGGCGAUAGCCUGAUCCAGCAAUGCCGCGUGAGUGAUGAAGGCCUUAGGGUUGUAAAGCUCUUUUACCCGAGAUGAUAAUGACAGUAUCGGGAGAAUAAGCUCCGGCUAACUCCGUG